GUGAACACGAUGAUGAGAAGAGUAGGAUGCGGAACUUUUCAGAGAGAGAUACAUUUGCUGGAAGUAUCUUAUUGGGAAACAUCUGAAAACUGCCUCGGAGUGACCCUAAUCCGGUCCGGUCUGAUACCGUUAUCAUCAAAUAGAGAGGCUCUUUCAUCUCUGAAGAUGAAAAAGCAAGCGGGGUGGAACCGCGAGUCAGAAAAUACUCGUCCCUUGC
rnacentral:ncRNA from 1 species